UAAAUAUUAAGAUGUGCUUCUAAUGCAUAUACAUGCAUGCAUGCAUGCACGCAUGCACGCAAACACAUUGGUCAUAUUACAUUUA